GACUAUUUGGAGGUAGAUUGCCAGGCCUUUCUUCCAAGGCAACUCUGAGUGUAUUUAAACUGCCAACCUUUCAGUUAGUAGCUGAGCACUUAACUCUUUGUGCCACCUAAUACAUAUAUAUACUAGGAGGUUUUCCUCCUUAUUUGUACUUUAACGUUUUUUAGACUCUUACGAAUACUUGUUCCUGGCAGUGAACUAGAUGCUAAAGAACAGAAUAGGCACAUGUAACCCUCUCUCACCUUCUCCCUCCCCUCUUCCACAGAGAUGAAAUGAAAAGGAAUUAAUGAAGACAGAUCACUGGAUUAGGGCCCAUACUCAGGGCUAUAACAGCAUGGGGAGUUUCUCCUGUCACUUCAGUUCUUGUUCAGGAAUUGGUACCUGCUUUUUGUGAAUCACAAAGACCAGUGCUGUAUAUCAAGCCAUUUAGAUUUGGGGUAUGGAGCAGUGAUGUAAAAAAAUUAAAUUUUAUUUUCAGAGAUUUUUUCUAUUAAUUGUUUACAUUUAUUUUAAUUGUGUAUUCUAAAACCCCUACAAAAAGGCAUGAAAUAAUUGUUUAAAUUUUAAUUCAUAUGGGUCAAAAUGUAUGUUAAACUACCUAUCGUCACCUUCACAGUCGUCGUUAUGUUUGAGCCAAUUGUUGUGGCCACUUGUUACCAAGUAUGACCUGCUUCUCCAGGGACUGAUCUCUCCUGACAACAUGUCCAAAAUAUGUGAGAUGAAGCCUCGCCAUUCUUGCUUCUAAGGAAUAUUCUGGCUGUACUUCUUUCAAGACAGAUUUGUUCAUUCUUUUGGCAGUCCGUGGUAUAUUCAAUAUUCUUUGCAAACACCGUAAUUCAAUGCCUUCAAUUUUUCUUUGGUCUUCCUUAUUCAUUGCCCACCUUUCGUGUGCGUAUGAGGCAACUGAAAGCACCGUGGCUUGAGUCAGGCACACAUUAGUUUUCAAGGUGACAUCUGUACUUUUGAACACUUUAAGAGGCCUCUGGCAGCAGAUUUGCCCAAUGCAAUGUGUCGUUUGAUUUCUUGACUGCUGCUUCCGUGGGUGUUUAUUGUGGAUCCAAGUAAAAAUGAAGCCCUUAAUGACGUGAACAUUUUCUCCGUUUAUCAUGAUGUUGCUUAUUGGUCCAGUUGUUAGGCUGUUAGUCUGUAGUCUUUGAUCUUCAGCAGUAAAUGCUUUAAGGCCUCUUCACUUUCAGCAAGCAAGAUUGUAUCAUCUGCAUAUCUCAGGUUAUUAAUGAGUCUUCCUCCAAUUCUGAUGCCUUCUUCUUCAGACCAGCUUCUCAGAUUAUUUGCUCAGCAUACAGGUUGAAUACAUAUGGUGAAAGGAUACAACGGUGAUGCACACCUUUCUUGACUUUAAACCAUGCUGUAUUCCUUGUUCUGUUUAGAUGACUGCCUCUUGUUCUAUGUACAGGUUUCUCAUAAAAACAGUUAAGUGUCCUGGAAAUCUCAUUCUUCCCCAUGUUAUCCAUAAUUUGUUAUGAGCUGGAGUAGGUCUCAGAAAUAAUGUACCAUUUCUUCCAGUUGGUUGUGCAUGGCUGCCUACUUCCCUAGGUGGUAGCAGCUAAGGCCUGUCUCAGAAACACUCUCCUCCCCACUUAGCAUGAGUUUUCACACUGCUCCAUCUUCUUUCCCUUGUGUGUCUCCUGCCCUCCUCAGUGGCUGGGGAAAAUGAUAGUAGUCCACUGAUGAGAUUUAUUCUUUUAUUAUACUUUAUUUUAUUAUUUGUUUUUAUAACAUAGUUCUGUUAAAAUCAAGGGUAAUAAAAAUGUUUGUAUGAUGGAAGUGGAUAAUCCCACCCACUGUGUCCAUCUAAAGUUUCAUGAGAAAACUGUGCCCACAACAGAGGGCUCCCACUCCUCUGGCUCACUGUAUUUUCUCCUUGUUCAUUUGCUCUUCCCUCUUUCCUGAUGGAUGCAUGGAACCACUGAGCUUCAGGACUCCACAAUUCUGCUUUUCAUACCAGUGUUACUGUAAUCUUGGGUUCAUGGGCUGCCUUGCCACAGAUUUACUCAUUCUGUUUCUGUUAAUUAUUUCAUUACUUAAAAAUCUCUCAUGAAUUUUUCCAGAAGUACAUUCUAUUCCUCAAAAACUUGGAAGCAAUGGGAAAGUAUGCAAAAAAAAAAAAAAAAACAAGAAAACAUACGUAAUGCAUAGAAUAAAUUAUUAACGUUCCGAUAUGUCUAUUUUCUUGCUUAUAUUGGCAUGUAUGUGUAUUAGAGUCUCUGGUUGAUGCAAAUGGUUAAUAUCUUGAGCUGCUGACAGAAAGUUGGAGUUCAGGUCCACCCAGAAUUGCUAUGAAAGAGAGGUCUGGCAGCCUACUUCCGAAAACUCAGCCAUUGGAACCCCUAUGGAGUACAGUUCUACUCUGGCACACUGGUGUCAUCAUGAAUCAGAACUGACUCAGUGGCAACUGGUUUUAUGUGUGUAUUAGCACACACAGUUAUGUAUAUUAACACAGAUAUUAUACCCUGAUAUUUUCAUUCAACAUUAGUCUUUUCAUGGUAAUUUUUUUUGUUUUUUUUUAAUGAGGGCAUUAAAUUACUUUAUAAUAUUCUGUGUGCAUGUAGUAUAUGUUUUUUAGCGAUUUGACUAUAGUUGCAAUAAUGUGCAUGUUUCUAGUAAUCUUUAAGCUAUACUUACAUCUUUUUAACAUACAUCUCUGCCAUUAAAUCUCUUUGUUUAAGUGUUGUUUAACACUCAUUACGCCUAAGGGAUGGUCUCAGAAGCAGCCCUGAUCAAUUUUUCUCCCUCUUACUCAUGAAGCCCCUUAAUGUAUUUCAAGGUAUCAACUACGAAGGAUUUUACGUACUUAUCGUUUGUUUAUUUUUCAUUCAGUCAGUGUAUUCCAUGGGCCAGAAGUAGUCUAUGUUAUGCAGAUACAGUGGUGAAAGGUACACACUGUCCCUGUCGUCAUGAAGGGGACAACCCAGUGCAGGUGGGAGGAGCACUGGGGAAAUGCAGCUGAGAGCAAGGACAGACAACCCUCCAGGAACCACACUGGACUUCAGAGAGGCUUGUUGGCUGCUGUUCACCUGGCAGGCUUCUAGAUACCCGAGUACCCUUGGCCUUGGUGCCUGCUCCUCUCUCUAUUGACACCCUCCCUCUAGGAUGCCUCAGUGAGUUUACUGCUGUCUAUUUGUAGCUAAGGACGUGAGGUUUAUACCUCCAUCCAUUCAAACUCCUCCUGGGUCCAGACUCAUAUAUUCAAAUGUCAGCCUAACUCUCUGUAUUGACCUCUUUAUGCAUUAUAAUGAUACAUUCCUCAUAUGGCCAUCAUGAAAAGCAAACAUGAAAGGAAAGCACAGGAGUGCCUGGCACCAGUGUAGGUACUCAAUGACCAUUAGCUGUUGGUAUUAUUCUUGACAUCUCCGUGUGGGGUGAAGUUUUAUUACCUGACAUCUCCAUGUGGGUAUCUAACAGCUGCACCAUGUUAUCUAGGCUAUGAAACAAUUCUUGGUUCCAACCACCAUUCUUUUCUUAUCGAUGAAUUUCUCAAGGCUUCGGUGAUGGGAGUGUGUGUUUUUCCACACAAUGGACAUGAUUAGGAAUGGUAGGCCAGGUCCUGCACAAUAAAUUGCUCCAACAUUCCUAUGGGUGACCAUUGAGACAAGUUUCAACCACUGAAUGUAGCAAAGAAUUGGAACUACUCUCAGCUGUUCAUGUGAGUACUCUCAAUCCAGAAUAUCUGGUAAGUCGACUGUUAGGGAUUGAAUUGUGUCCCUCCAAAAUGUAUGUGGAAAUCCUAACCCCUGUACCUGUAAUUCUGACCUUGUUUGGAAAUAAGGGGCCUGCUUUUAUUAUGUGAAUGAGGUCAUACCAAUGUAGGGUGGGUCCUAAGCCUAACUCUUCUUAGUUAUAAAAGGAGCAGAAUACACACAGACACAAACAGGUGAAAAGGAAGACAGACAAAGAAGACAGAUGCUUCUAGAAGGCCAGGAACACAAAUGAUUGCUGGCAUCUACUAGAAGCUGAGGUAGACAAGGAAGGACCUCCCACUACAGCCAUGCCCUGAAUUCGAACUACUACCUGCUAAACUGUGAGAAAAUAAAUUUCUGUCCUUUAAAAGCCAUCCAGUUGUGUUAUUUUUUGUUAUGGAGGGACUAGGUAACUAACACACAUACCCGUGCUUAUAAGUUCAGCCCAGUGCAGAACAGUUUUCUUCCCUCCUUGGUCUAGCCCACCUGAACCUGCUCUUUCCCUAUCAGUGUCCUUUGCUUUCACCUAAGAGCUAUGACAGAGUCCGCUUGAUGCUGACGCAUUGAAAUUUCAAUUUAUUUUUUAUUUAUGAUUACUAUUAAUUCCAAUAUUUUCUACGGUUUUCAAUGGAGACAGUCCUAUAAUCUAUGAAUAGCAGUUAUACUUUUUUUGUAUUAGCUUACACUUCCAGUGUUAAAUGUUUAAUAAAAAUAAUGAUAGAAGCAUCCUUAUUUUAUUGUUUAUUAAUUUCAAAGAGAAUGUCCCACACGUCACCAUGAACUAUCAUGUUAGUUGUAGUUUUCCACGUUCGGGAACUCCUUUUCUGUUCCAUGUUUGCUCCUAGUCCUUAUCUCUCCGUGUGAUUGGAUUUUAUCAACCUGCUUUGCCCCCAUCUCUUGAGGUGAGCAUAUGUCUUCUCUUCUUUCACCUAUGCAUGUGGUGAAUGAAAUUACUAAAUCUUUAAUGUUCACUCAAAUUUGUAUGCCUACAAUAAACCGCCUUGAUCAUGGCAUGUUACGUGGUUUACCCUUUGCUGGAUUUCCUUUGCUGGCAUCUUGUGUAGGGUUUUGCAUCUCAGUUACUGAGUGUGCUUGUCCUCUAACUCUUCUUCUACCUUCUUUCUCUAAUUUGUUAUCAUUUUUAAACUAGCCAUAAGGAUCAAGUUAGGGGAGUGUCUCAUGGUUUUCUAAUCUCUGUAGACUAUGUACUAGAUUAAAAUGACUGUUUCUUGCAUGUUUGCUGGAACCUGACUGGAAACGAUCUAGGUCUGCCAUUUUCUUUGUAGGGAGAUCUUGAACUACUGACUCAUUUUAUUUAGUGGUUAAAGGCCUCUUCUGGUGCUAAUUUACUUGUAAAAAAUUCUGAUGCAUGUUCUAGAUUGCUCGAAUCUCAUCUUUAAAUAUUGAUUAUCAGGGCUUGUAGCCUCAUGCAAGCCAAUUAAUCAAUCCCAGAUUUCCCCAAAGUCAGGCUCUGCAACUAUUCCUGGUACCAAAUUCCCUCAUCUAAGACUUAUUUGCAAAGAAAGAGACAACAGUAUGCUAUCUACGCAGUUGUGUAUCCGCAGCCUUCUUGAGUCCAUAAUGUGAGGUUACAGUCUUCUAAUACUUUUUUUGUAAUUGUUCUCUUUCUUAUUUUAUUUUUCCUUUUUUCACUGCCAAUACCGCCCCCCCCCCCAGUCUAGUAGUUUUAAAGUUGUGCGUUUCAGGUUCAAGUCUGUAAUCCAGCUGGGAUUCUGUGUGUGCUGCAUGUGUGCAUCAAAAGAACACGCUUCUAGAAGCAGAAAGCAGGCAGUGGGACUGUUGGGUGGUUGGCGGGGCGGGGGGAGGGGAGCUGCUGCCCAGAGAGGGCGCCCGAGGGAGGCAGGAGAUGCCGGGCUGCCCACUGCAAGCCUGCAGACUCCAAGGGGGCGGAACCUGCGUGCGCCAUGAGCCUUUUGAGACAGGCCCUAGCCCGCCCAGCCGGGUGCUAACCUCGCACCCGCCAGGCUUGCGGGUUCCCCCAGGACUAGGGGAAGCCUGAGGCCAAGGAGGGCAAGACCUAGGGUCUGGACCUGGGAACUGGUUCUGCCACGUGUGAUCGCAGCACUUAUGCUGGGAAGGGGGGCAGGAAGCAUAUCGCAACGUGCAUCCAGACGAUGACCCAGAAGGGUAGGAGUUGUGGUCACCCUCGGACUCUGCGUCUGCAUAUGGACGCCCCCCCAGGGUGCAAUUCCAGGAGCACAAGGCAAAGCCACAGAGGCCACAGUGCACCUCGCCGAUGCUCCCCAGGGGCAUUGCCCCAAAUUUGGGGAACAGUCCCUCCUCUGGGCUAGGGACUUUGUUUCCUCCAUUGUACUCACUGACUGUGAGCAGACUCUUGUCUAGGCAGACUAAUGAGGAGUUAUCAAAAUGAGCUUAAAAGUCCGGAUUUGAGUUAAGGAUCAUAAAUUAACACAGAGAAAUACGACUUUAGCAAUAAGUGCCUGCUUGAAGCCCAAGUUGCCUGAAAACACGGAAUUUCAGUCUUUCAGCUCCUCUGCUAAUCUAGGGACUAAGAACUGGAUCUCACUGGAGCUCAAAGAUGUGGGGCACUGGAAAUACUCCUGGGUCUGUCUGCUCAUGGCUGAUUGCCUGAUUCCCAGUUUUAUUAUACAGCUUAAAUACAGACCAGAAGAGGAGUUUGGGGCUUGACACCUGACAUCUUAACACCAGUUCCUGUUUCUUGAGGAAGGAAGAGGUAAAAUAAAUCAGCGUUUACUGUUUCCUUCUCCAUCCCCGGAAGUCCUGAUGAAGACCCUCUCAGCUUCAACUUGAACGUGAAUAUGAGCAACUGAUCAUCUGUUCUGCAGUCAGCCCCUGGCCUGAUUCUGACUCAUGAUAUUGACCAAGUGAAGAGUGAUUUAGAGAAAAACAUGGGUAGAGUGUGACCUAAUUUCCAUAAAAACAAAUGAAUGUACUUACAUGUGUCCCGGCAAAAAGAAGUGUGUAAAAGGGUACAUAUGUAUCUUUGGACACUGGACACUUCAGGGGAGCAGGUACAAUAUACUUAUGUGGGGAUGGCUCUUAUUAAAACUUCUAUAUACAAAUCUCUAUUGUUAAAUGUGUUAUAAGAAUGUAAAAGCUUUUAAAGUUUAAUAACAUCAUACGUGUAUGUGUGUGUAUUUGAAACUUUUUUUUUUUUUUUACUAUUUUAUAUAUGUGUUUUUUAGUUAUCUAGUUUUUUUUUUAGUGUGGCUAUUUUUUUUUAGUGUGGCUAUAGCAGAGAUACCACAAGUGGAUGGCUUUAACAAACAGAAACUUAUUCUCUCACAGUUUAAGAAGCAACAAGUUUGAAGUCAGGGCACCAGGUCUAGGAGAAAGCUUUCUCUCUUUGUGGCUCUGGGGGAAGGUCCUUGUCAUCUAUCUUCCCCUGGCCUAGGAAAUUCUCAGCGUGUGGACACUGGGUCAAAAAGACGUGCUCCACUCCAGACACUUCUUCCUUGGUGGUAUGAGGUCCCUCUCAUUUCCGCUCACUCUUCUCUUUGUAUCUCAAAAGAGACUGACUCAAGACUCACCCUAAUCCUGUAGAUUGUGUCCUCCCUCAUUAACCUAACUGUCUCUAAUCCCGCCUUAUUAACAUCACAGAGGUUAGAAUUUACAACACAUAAGUAAUUACAUCAGAUCACAAAAUGCAGGACAACCACACAAUACUGGGAAUCAUGGUCUGGCCAGGUGGGCACACAUUUUGGGGGACACUAUUCAAUCCAUAACAAUAGAGAAAACACUGUCUUCAAUGCCAGAUUCAGAGACUUUUAUCCAUCUAUGAAGGGCAAACACAGAAAUUGAACAAAAUUCAGACCAGCGAAUUAUUGCUUGCUCUUGUAACUAAUGACUUCUUCUGGUCUCUGUACCUGGAAAUGGCCAAAACGAAUUCUGUGAGGAUUAAUUCAGUUAUUGCUAAAACAUCUACUGCAUUUACAUGUCUACAGAUAAGGAAGAAUGCUGGACACCAUGUGUGAUUCAUUAAGUAACACAGGGACUAUUAGACUGUUGUUCUCCUUCUCUGAUAUGCCACUAUCACCUUCUCCCCUUGUUGCUCUCCUGAAAAACCCACACUUGUAUAUUCUAGGCUUUUUUCCAGGAUUGAAUUUGCAGGAAGUUGAAGAUAUAUCUUUGAAAGAUAAAAAAGACUUUGGCCACAUUGUCUUUAGACAGUCAAACUUCCCAGCCAGCCUCUGUGCAGGAUGGGAAUUCACAAUCCCUCCUACUCAGUACCUCUGAGCAGGACAGGAUUUCUGUUUCAUUAUCAGGAGACUGUGGAAUUCACCCCUCUUCAGAAAACUUACUUUCCUUUGCCUCAAACUGUCCCUCUCAGGAUCUGUCACGGUCACUCUGAGAAAUUCACAUGGGCAGCCUGUAUGGAAGUGCCCAUCCUAGAGACCCUGCCCUCCCUUCCUUGCUCCGUAGGGCUUCCUCUGACACUUGGGGUCACAUCUCCCAGUGAGUACACACCUCUGGCACUUCCAGGGAUUCCCAGGCCCUGGGAUACUGUGGAUGGGACUUGGAACUCAAUCUCUUUCUUCCCAUCCUCACCUUUGGUUAUCUGUGUUCUGUCUUCACCAGAUUUAGGAGGCCUUGUCUUCUCUUUGCUCAUUUCGUUUCAGUCAGGCUUUUCUAUUCCAACUCUCUGAUCUCAGGACAGAUCAGGUUAGACCACAGAAAAGAGAAAGACCAAGCAAACAUCACUGAUCUGUGCAGAAGCUGCUGGGAAGGGAUUCGAUUCUCAUUGGUUUAGGGUUUUAUGCCCACUGCUCACCGGCAGGCAGGUUCCCCCCAGAGUCUGGGUUCUGUCUGGUACCUUGUACUACAAAGAACUCAGUGACCAGCCCACCUUCACAAUCACACCUCCCUUAGAGCUACCUUUGCAGAGGCUCUUUCUCAGACUUCCAUGUCCCACUGAAAUCCCAUUUCUCUUUCCUUACAAACAUUGUGCUCAUUCUCAGGGCCCCGAGACCUUAUCUGCAGGUGAGUCUUGUCCUCUUCUCUCCUUGGCUUUUGAGUGGACCUCAUGUCUUCGGACAGCUAUCCUGGGGCUUCUUCCACCCUGGUGCUCUGGGGCUGGAUCUCUCCAUGUACUAGAGGGGGCGUGGAAGGGGCACAAGGCUAAAAGGAUGGAUCUUCCAGGUGAGGUGGGUUUAAGAAGCCUGAAUGAAGUUCUUCCCUGAAGGGUGCAUAUUUUGCAGUCCACACAUCCUGCUUCUCUCAGUCUGAGAGUCCUAGCAUGUCUUCAUGUGCUUUCUCCUUUGACUUUGAGGCCAUGCCUGCACCCUCUGCAGCCAGGUCUCCCACAUGUGUAGCAGCACCAGUAGGUGUGGUAGCCUCUUCAGCCCCUGUCUCCUCCUCCAUAUGCUCCUGGAGGUACCUGGCUCUUCUUGCCAGGACUCCAGGAUGCUGACCAGGAACUCAGUGUUGGUUAGACUGAGGGCAGCCAAAUCACAACCAUGCCUCCUGUGGGUGGGGGGGGGCGGGGGGCAGGGCUUGAAUAUGUCAGCAUAAGGGUCAGUAUUUUUCUGAGUAUGAGGGAAUGAUUGGCGAGUUAAGGAAGAAAGAGAAGGAGUUUGGGAGGGGAAUGUAAGCUCCAGUGACAGACAGAAGAUGGGGUGGGGGAUCUCUCAAAGGGUAUUAGAGGCCAGUCAGAAAAGCAGGAAGCAGCAGGAAGCAGGGUCAGUGGAGGGCAGCACUGGGUGGAGGAGGACAGCAGAGGUAAUAGUAGUGGGGAGGGCAACAAAACUGGCCUGGAAAGAGUGAUACAUGACUGAUCCUAGAUGAAGCUCAGGUUGAGAAAAGUAGGAAAAUAAAAAAUUCUAUCCUGUAGCCAUGUUUGUGCUUAGGGGUUGUUAGGCUCUUGAGGGAGGUGGGCAGGAGACACAGGAGGGGAAGGGGAGUUCCUGGAUCUAGGGAGGAGUCUACAGCCCUUCUUCUGCCCUCAAUGAUAUGGGUUCUGGGCUGUUCAACCUACUACUCCCAGAACCUCCUGAAUAAUUUCCUUAGUUCUUCACAUGGUAUAUUAAUUCCAUCUCAGUAGAAAAUAUAAUAAUGAAGUACGCUUCUUCUUACCCACCCUUUCCACCAUCCUAUACUCUCUGCCCCAGUUGCCCACUGGCUUCCUUCCCUUCCAUCAUGUUCAGAUCCAGAACAAAAGAGUGCCUUGUCUGCAGCUAUUCUGGAAAGCUCUCAAACUUACAAUUGAAUUCUUUCGUUUCAUCCGUCAUUUAUUCCUACAUUUCUUAUUGACAAAAUAAACUUUGGUUAAUUAUCUACUAAAUGACAGAAAGUGCUUUCUCAGGAGAAUCUUCCUUAUGACCUUAUCCAUUCAUCCCAAAUCCUUCAUCUUGUCCUACCAUGGCUCUCUUUUCUGGUGGAAGUCAGACCUUUUGUUCUGUAGCACUCAUCAAUCUGGGUCGAUUUUUCCUCAUCUUUAUCUACAGUCUUAGAGAAAGGCCUUUUCCUCGUGUAUCACUGUUUCAUCCUGCCUGGGUGAAGAUGUCCAAACAUAAUGGUCUCUGAAGGACAUUUAUCCCUUCUCCCAGCAGGACCCUUUGAUAACCUGGGGACUCUGGCUUGCUCCUGAAUUUCCUUGAUUCAGUAGCUAAGGUUUCUCUCCCACAAGACCUGAGAUCGGCACCCUUUUCAAAAAGCAGCUGAGAUCUGAGUUAGCACCAAGGCUUCCGUAAUCCUGUGUGACAUCAUUGCUGACAGUGCUGAGUUCCAUGGGCCCAGUUUGAAGCUAAACAGGGCAACCAGAAAAACAUGAAACUGUCAGGUAGGCACUUGAGAAGUGCUAGUGCCAAUGUAGGAAGAAGGAGAUUAGAUACUAAAAAUGAAUUGCAACUUUUCCGUGCCGUGUAAGGGGUUACUAUCCCCUGGUGGGUAAAGAGAGCACAGGGAAUGAUAACAGUAUCAUGGGCAGCUGCUUUCUCCCAGUGCUCUCAUUUGACUCUGUUGGAAUCAUGUCUCUCCAGCUCUGUUCAUGAAAUGUCCACUCUGAGCCACUCUUAGGUCUCCUUAGCCUCUGAGUCUUCACACAGGCUCUGCUCUCUGACUAGGAGAUGUUCUCUCCCUUCCCGUCUGCUGGCCUACUCUCCCUGGUGAAGCGUGAAGGUGAAGAAAACUGUCCCCAUUGGAAAGAUUAGG